UCGAGAAUCAUUCACAAUGGGGGAAACCCUGAUGGUGCGACGCCGCGUGGGGGAAUGAAGGUCUUCGGAUUGUAAACCCCUGUCAUGUGGGAGCAAAUUAAAAAGAUAGUACCACAAGAGGAAGAGACGGCUAACUCUGUGCCAGCAGCCGCGGUAAUACAGAGGUCUCAAGCGUUGUUCGGAAUCACUGGGCGUAAAGCGUGCGUAGGCUGUUUCGUAAGUCGUGUGUGAAAGGCGCGGGCUCAACCCGCGGACGGCACAUGAUACUGCGAGACUAGAGUAAUGGAGGGGGAACCGGAAUUCUCGGUGUAGCAGUGAAAUGCGUAGAUAUCGAGAGGAACACUCGUGGCGAAGGCGGGUUCCUGGACAUUAACUGACGCUGAGGCACGAAGGCCAGGGGAGCGAAA
rnacentral:rRNA from 1 species